GUUGACUGUUGGAUAGUCCUACCCUCCUCCCCUAGCAGAGCUCUCAUCUUUCUUCCCCACCCCACCACCACAUCCCCCUUCCACCGGACGAGGGCCUACACGAGGCCGCGCGGCCGCUCCUUCUCUGCCCCUUCUUCCAUGCCGCUCCUCUCUUUCAGAUGGCGUGGGAGUGCCGGGGAGGUGGGGUGGGACAAAGAUCGCCGAACGAGCGGCUGAUGUAGAACCCUGCGCCCCCGUUAAUGGAGAGGAAGUGGUACAACCAGAAGUCCUCCAGGUGUGACGCGCCGUCGCGGACGCGAACAAUGUCGGACACCGUAGCAGCGGCUUGCGAGCCUGUGAGGGGGCGGUGGAGGGCAGAUCCGGAGUGGCCGUGGUAGCCGAGCCAGGUCGGGGCGGGCCCUAAGGAUCCUGCACGGGGCUAGGCUCCCGGUGCGGCUCGGCGCGUGGUCAGAUGCCAUCGCCAUUGCAGCCGCCCCUCGGGCUGGUCAACGCUGGGGCCGCUUCCGCCUCAGGCUGUAGGCCUGUAGCGCCAUGAGCGGCCGGAACGAUGGCCACUGCAGCGGUUGCCGGGAACGAACGCCGCGUCGACCUUCUGCUGGCUGGUAUAUAGUGCCGCGGAGGCCGAGGCGCUGACUCACGGGCGCGGGCGUCAUCGGUGCAGAUUGCACGAUGGAGCACCGACCUCCACUGCUAGCAUGAAGGAAAAGUGAGGAGGCAGCUGCACAAAGGUGGAGUUUCGUGCUAUCGGGAUCAAGGGCGGCGGGGCAGUGGAUUUAUCCAGCGGUGAUGCUCCUCGGUCACAGUGAAUCCUAUCUGCAGGGCAAUGCGAUGCAUGUCAGAUUAGCUUUCAACCAUUUUGGGGAAGCACUCAUUCAUAGUAUUUCAAGCCCCGGUCACCGACGUCGCUACACCAAGACCAACAAGUCCCCCAAGUGGACCGAUGACACGAGGCCGAGUCAAAGCGCUACAUGAUAAGGUGAACUCACUCCUCACUACCCUUGAUCUUGAUACCCCAUUGGACGGACUGCUACCUCAGGCCGAUAUGCUUUGUGUUAUCAGAUAUAAACCUCGAGAGAAGGACGUCGCAGCAGACCCGAAGAUGGACGAGGAAGGAGGAGGAGAAGAGUGGCCGCCGAAGGACUCCACUC